GGCUGGUUGGUGUAGUUGGUUAUCACGUCUGCUUAACAUUCCGUUAAGUGAGAAACGCAGAAGGUCGCCAGUUCAAGUCUGGCACUAGUCA